rnacentral:rRNA from 1 species
AGUGAACGCUGGCGGUAGGCCUAAAACAUGCAAGUCGAACGGCAGCACAGUAAGAGCUUGCUCUUACGGGUGGCGAGUGGCGGACGGGUGAGGAAUACAUCGGAAUCUACUUUUUCGUGGGGGGUAACGUAGGGAAACUUACGCUAAUACCGCAUACGACCUACGGGUGAAAGCAGGGGGUCUUCGGACCUUGCGCGAUUGAAUGAGCCGAUGUCGGAUUAGCUAGUUGGCGGGGUAAAGGCCCACCAAGGCGACGAUCCGUAGCUGGUCUGAGAGGAUGAUCAGCCACACUGGAACUGAGACACGGUCCAGACUCCUACGGGAGGCAGCAGUGGGGAAUAUUGGACAAUGGGCGCAAGCCUGAUCCAGCCAUACCGCGUGGGUGAAGAAGGCCUUCGGGUUGUAAAGCCCUUUUGUUGGGAAAGAAAAGCAGCAGGUUAAUACCCCGCUGUUCUGACGGUACCCAAAGAAUAAGCACCGGCUAACUUCGUG